ACGAACGCUGGCGGCGUAGAUAAGACAUGCAAGUCGAACGGGGUUAUAAUUGUAGUAAUACAAUUAUAGCUUAGUGGCGAACGGGUGCGUAACACGUGAGCAAUCUGCCGGGAAGUGUGGGAUAGCUCGCCGAAAGGCGAAUUAAUACCGCAUGUGGCUAGGGGUGACAUCACUCCGAAGCCAAAGUCGCAAGACGCUUCCUGAUGAGCUCGCGGCCUAUCAGCUAGUUGGUGAGGUAACGGCUCACCAAGGCAAUGACGGGUAGCUGGUCUGAGAGGACGACCAGCCACACUGGAACUGAGACACGGUCCAGACACCUACGGGUGGCAGCAGUCGAGAAUUUUUCACAAUGGGGGAAACCCUGAUGGAGCGACGCCGCGUGGAGGACGAAGGUCUUCGGAUUGUAAACUCCUGUCAUGCGGGAACAAGAAAGUGAUAGUACUGCAAGAGGAAGAG
rnacentral:rRNA from 1 species